AUUGAACGCUGGCGGCAUGCCUUACACAUGCAAGUCGAACGGCAGCACGGGAGCAAUCCUGGUGGCGAGUGGCGAACGGGUGAGUAAUGUAUCGGAACGUGCCCAGUCGUGGGGGAUAACGUAGCGAAAGCUACGCUAAUACCGCAUACGAUCUAUGGAUGAAAGCGGGGGAUCGCAAGACCUCGCGCGAUUGGAGCGGCCGAUAUCAGAUUAGGUAGUUGGUGGGGUAAAGGCUCACCAAGCCGACGAUCUGUAGCUGGUCUGAGAGGACGACCAGCCACACUGAGACUGAGACACGGCCCAGACUCCAACGGGAGGCAGCAGUGGGGAAGUUUGGACAAUGGGCGCAAGCCUGAUCCAGCAAUGCCGCGUGCAGGAUGAAGGCCUUCGGGUUGUAAACUGCUUUUGUACGGAGCGAAAAGGCUCUCUCUAAUACAGGGGGCUCAUGACGGUACCGUAAGAAUAAGCACCGGCUAACUACGUGCCAGCAGCCGCCGUAAUAC
rnacentral:rRNA from 1 species